GCUCUCUGCUAGGAAGGCAGACUUCCAAGGAGAACUGUAACACAGGAGGACUGGAGCAAGAAACGUGAUGCAGAGAAUUUUCAGGGAAGCCCAGGACAUCUUUCAGCUGAUGGGACACAUACAUGAAAUGUAGUCCAGAAAUGGCUCCAAAGAACUUUCAGCAUCAAUCAACAAGAUAGAUGAAAGAGGAAGAGAGAAGCAGCACUGCUUGCCCACAUAUGAAGUCAAGAGAUGGAGGAGUUGGUGGUUACGUGCUGCACUGCUUGGUGGAUACAUGCCUGGCUAUAUGCAGGGUGAAAGAAAAGUCGCAUGCUUCAUCCCUUCACAUUAACAUAGGAAAAUCAUCUCACUGAAGUGCACAUCCUCCUAUUUCUGAGGCAAAGCAGAAGAAUAUGAGACAACAGAAACAAUGGAAACUGCAACAAAUUAAUAAAUUUUAU